rnacentral:rRNA from 1 species
AUUGAACGCUGGCGGCAGGCCUAACACAUGCAAGUCGAACGGUAACAGGAAGCAGCUUGCUGCUUCGCUGACGAGUGGCGGACGGGUGAGUAAUGUCUGGGAAGCUGCCUGAUGGAGGGGGAUAACUACUGGAAACGGUAGCUAAUACCGCAUAAUGUCGCAAGACCAAAGAGGGGGACCUUCGGGCCUCUUGCCAUCGGAUGUGCCCAGAUGGGAUUAGCUUGUUGGUGGGGUAACGGCUCACCAAGGCGACGAUCCCUAGCUGGUCUGAGAGGAUGACCAGCCACACUGGGACUGAGACACGGUCCAGACUCCUAAGGGAGGCAGCAGUGGGGAAUAUUGCACAAUGGGCGCAAGCCUGAUGCAGCCAUGCCGCGUGUAUGAAGAAGGCCUUCGGGUUGUAAAGUACUUUCAGCGGGGAGGAAGGGAGUAAAGUUAAUACCUUUGCUCAUUGACGUUACCCGCAGAAGAAGCACCGGCUAACUCCGUG